rnacentral:lncRNA from 7 species
GUUAGAUGAUAUCACCAAGUCUUUUGCACCUACGUCUUGUCAGCGAGAACAUUUUGGGUUUCGAACAAGACAGACUUCCUCUGUGUGUAAAAACUUUGGGCAUACCCCCCUCUUCUCAUCUCCAUUGGUGAGAUUGGUGUGUACAUGCUAUUGUAGUUCAGAGUUCAGACAGAGUGACACGGAUAUCAGAGCAGAUCAUAAGAACGUACUUGCAGCGAUGGAACUGAGAUUAUUUUCU